UAGCUGAGUUGGUAGAGCAUGGUGUUUGCAACGCCAGGGUUGUGGGUUCGAUUCCCAC
rnacentral:tRNA from 1 species